UUUCCGGUUGAUCCCGCCGGACCUGACUGCUAUCGGAUUGAUACUAAGCCAUGCGAGUCUUUGCAGUAAUGCAAGGCAUACGGCUCAGUAACACGUAGUCAACUUAUCCUAUGGACGAGGAUAAUCUCGGGAAACUGAGCAUAAUACUCGAUAGAUCAUAAUGCCUGGAAUGGUUUAUGGUUGAAAUGAUUCGUCGCCAUAGGAUGGGACUGCGGCCUAUCAGCUUGUUGGUGAGGUAAUGGCCCACCAAGGCGAUUACAGGUACGGGCUCUGAGAGGAGAAGCCCGGAGAUGGGUACUGAGACAAGGACCCAGGCCCUAUGGGGCGCAGCAGGCGAGAAAACUUUGCAAUGUGCGAAAGCACGACAAGGUUAAUCCGAGUGAUUUCUGCUAAAGAAAUCUUUUGCAAGUCAUAAAACCACUAGUGAAUAAGGGGUGGGCAAGUUCUGGUGUCAGCCGCCGCGGUAAAGCCAGCACCUCAAGUGGUCAGGAGGAUUAUUGGGCCUAAAGCAUCCGUAGCCGGCUCUGUAAGUUUUCGGUUAAAUCCAUGUGCUCAACGCAUGGGCUGCCGAAAAUACUGCAUAGCUAGGGAGUGGGAGAGGUAGACGGUACUCAGUAGGAAGGGGUAAAAUCCUUUGAUCUAUUGAUGACCACCUGUGGCGAAGGCGGUCUACCAGAACACGUUCGACGGUGAGGGAUGAAAGCUGGGGGAGCAAACCGGAUUAGAUACCCGGGUAGUCCCAGCUGUAAACGAUGCAGACUCGAUGAUGCAUUGGCAUAUAGCCAGUGCAGUGUCGCAGGGAAGCCGUUAAGUCUGCCGCCUGGGAAGUACGUACGCAAGUAUGAAACUUAAAGGAAUUGGCGGGGGAGCACCACAAGGGGUGAAGCCUGCGGUUCAAUUGGAUUCAACGCCGGG
rnacentral:rRNA from 1 species